UGGUGCCCUUGGCAACACAGCCCCCUACCUCUGUCCCCUGCCCCACUGGGCACUGCCCAUCUGAGAGAGCCAAAGAGGCAGCUAUGCGGCUAUUAGGCUCGAGUCAGAACGAAUUUGGUUGAUCCAAACCUGCGCAUAUUGAUGUUUCUAAGUUUAGCACAGAAUCCAGAACCCACCCCGCAACGAGCCACCAUGGCGGAUCAGGACUGGCAGAUCCGCGGCCAGCAGAGAUUCGUCAUGUGCCAGCGUGGAAACCGGCCUCACCCUGUACGAGCACCGCCCCCUUUCCACCUGACAGACGACACAGGGCAGGGAGGAGGAAGGAGGCCUCAGUUUGGCAGUUCGAGAUGGCGUCGGUGGGAGCUGCGCAGUCUCUUAAAGGGCCUCCGCCCUUUCCACGGCAGGGGGUGGGGGUGGAGCAAGCCAAGUCGGACUCAGGAGAUACAGUAGUACUUCCCGCCUCUGUUUCCGGUGGAAGGGGGUGUAGGGAGCAGAUACAGAGCAUCCCGCUCCCUGCAGCUGUGGCCCCAUAACACUACCCGCCUGCAUGAGCCCCAAAUACACCCUGCAGCCACGAGCCCCUGAGCCCCUGACCCCUAAACGCAUGUAAGUGGGACAGCUCACUGUCCGCUCAUCUGUGCUAGGGAGGAUGAGUUCUCCAAAUGAAUGGGUGUAGAUGGAGAAUAGAAGGGGACACAGAACUGAACCUCGA